GAUUUCAACUGAAAAAGUCAUCAACAACAAAGUUGUAUAACUCAUCAAGAUCUAUAACUUUUAUUUUGGUCAUUUCUUCAUCCGACAAAGUGAUAGUAACAUUGUUCAUAAAAUUUACAUCUCAUUUGGUUCUUUGUAAACAAUACUACUAUCACUUUAUCGGGCGAAGAAAUGAACAAAAUAAAAGUUGUAUGUCUUGAUGAGCUCUACAACUUUUAUGUUCAUGACUUUUUCAGCUGAAAUU
rnacentral:pre_miRNA from 2 species